UAUAUACUCCUUCCGAUCUAUAAUUCUUGCCUUAGCUUUGUUUAAAAAUGUAUGUAUCUAAAUACUAAAAAUUAACUAGAUACAUUUAUAUCUAAAUAAAUCUAAGAUAAGAAUUUUGAAACGGAAGGAGUAUUAG
rfam:Hordeum vulgare subsp. vulgare, WGS project CAJW01000000 data, contig: morex_contig_1584823